rnacentral:rRNA from 1 species
AUGCUUCACCUCCGAACCAGGUACCCGCAUAUGGCAACGAGGCGGGAUUUCUGCUUUUACCCCAUUGUGACAGAAGUAGGAAUGCAACCUUCUCCCGCUAUCCAAGGAGAUGACCCCGCAAUCGCUCGCCUGGUGCAAUAUAUCACUGCCCAGGGGAUGAUGAUUGCCAAGAUGCUUGCCGAUUUUAGAGCCAUGGACAAUGAUGUGGUACGAGUCGUCAAGGAAGCUUACCGCGAGGCUCGUAAAUUCGCAUCUCAAGCCAUCCGAACCGGUGCUACCCUCUCAGCCUGUGUUGUGGCCUAG